GUUCAAGUUGUGAUCUUCUGAAUCGUUUAGCCCUAUAAAUCUGGUGAAGGUGCCGUUUCAUUUUCCUUGGAAGCUCUGUGAACAUCGGACCCGUCAUUUCUUGAAGUGAGUGACUGGUGUCAUCUUUCUUGGUUCCUGUUCAGAGGAAGCUUCUCAGCUGUAGGGCUCUCAAAAGCCACGUUCACUCUCAUAGAUUUUUGUUGUUGAUGUUCUUGGUUUUUCUGUUUUGUAUUAAGAUGAUUUAUCUUAUGUUCUGUUUUUGUGUUUUUAACUUUUGAAAGUAUUUUUUUUUCUAGUUUUUGAUCUGAGAAAGUGAGUUCACUUUGGUUUUGACCCUUGAGUUUUUGAGCAAGAGUUUCCAUCUGCUGGUUCACCCCCAAGUGCCUGCAGCAGCUGGAGACUCGAUGGAGAGCCAGAAUGUGGGCAUUCAGUCCAGCUUUCUUGUGUGAAUGGCAGGAACCCAACCCCUCAGUCAUCAGCACCGCCCACCAGGUAUGAGACUUAUUUCAAUGCAGAAAUGAAUGGAGCAGAAUAGAGAAUGGAUAAAGGUGAAGAUUAUUGUGUUUUGUACUAAUGCAUGCCAUCUCAUCUUGUGUGCUUAGGAUGCAGAGAUAAGCAAGCAGCUCCCCUUAUGUAGCUUACCACUCAGAGAAAGAAUGUAACCUUUAAAAAGCAGAAAACAAAUUUUAGUUUUAAUGGUAAAAACUGAGAAAAAGAAACACAUGUUACUAUCUGAGCAAAUAACAUGUGAACCCCAACCCACCACAGAGGGCAUGAUGGCCUUGGGCCUGUGGGCAUCGGAUCCAGAGGAC